CUGAUACAGGUGAAAUCAGAAGAGUUAAAUAGAUAUUCCUAAACUACAAGUGUAUCUCAAGACAGCGAGUUAUUCAGGUACAGAGCCUCUACUUGUGUCUCUUUGUUUCUGUGCCUUCUUGGUCACUGUAUAUGAAGACUAAUUUAACAUCCACGGUUCCUUGUCUCAGUCUUAAGGUUCAUAGGAAGAGCAUAAGAGAGUUUUACUUUUGCUCAAAUGAGAUAUAAUUUAUAAAUACAGAAUAAAGAAGAGCAAGGUUCGUAAGUACAGAUUCAUCACCAAGGGAACAUGCAGCAAUAAAAGCCACAAGUAGCCUCUGGAGGUAAAAAGAGGAAUGAAAUUGAGUAACAUCAUAUAUAUGAGUGGAGUGAGCUUCCCUCUGUUAACUGAUAAAGAUAAAGAAGACUGUCCAGUUUUACAGAAGGAGAGAUGUCUACAUAUGGAGGCCUAAAAUCAUUCUGAGACUGAGAAAAACCAUAGAAAUAAAGAGAUGUUGUUGUUGUCAUCAUCAUUAUCAUCAUCACCAUCAUCAUCAUGACCAUCUUCAUCAUCAUCAUCCUCCUCCUCAUCACCAUCAUCAUACCUCUUACAGCCUAGAUGGGAUGUUCACAAGCACGAUCCAUACAGUCUUCCUUGGAUCCAAGGCUCUUGUGGCAGCCUGGAGACUCAGUGCCAUGUGACUUUCAGUCAAGCCCAGAGAAGCUGUCAACAUGGAGAGAGAGAGAAAGAGAGAGAGAGAGACAGAGACAGAGACAGAGACACAGAACACAGAGAGAAAUCCUGAACACAUGGGAGCGAGAAAUGACUACCCACAUGGGAUUCAAUUGCUUUUCACAUGUUAUUUCCCAUUGCGCAAGUGCCUCCCUCACCAAUUUCUCACCCCCUGCUAAUUCCUUCCCCGCCAGCACAGCAGAGAAUAAGAACGUAGCAAUUGGUAUAUGUUGGUGGAUGCUGUACAGACUGGGACAGUGUGAGCUUUUCUAUUUCUGUUCAUCGUGAAAGAGGGCACAUGGAGCAGGGAGCUUUCGACAGCUCUUAUGGGCCCUUUGGCCAGAAACGGACUGAUACCUGCAGGAUCCAGAAAUUGUUAUUUAGGAUGACCUUUAAAUGUGUUGCACUGUGGAUAAUUAGAACCUACAUUAGAUUUCUGAGAGGCAGUAUAGCAAUGUGCUGAGGAACAAGCCCUGGACCAGAAUCUUGACUCUCUAUCUUUAUUAGGGUUACGUCCUAUUAGGUGGGGUUUUUGGAUCGAUUAUUUAGCCUCUUUUUGCCUGAUUUUCCUUGCUGUCUACUUUAUAUGACCAGCUUGUGGUGGAGCAUAAUGUUAAUUUUCAAAGUAUUAAAAUGUGUCAGGCUCAUGACAGAUGCAGUUUUAAUGUUUACUAUUACUUCAUAGCUAAUAUCAAUCUUGUUUUUUUAUAUGCCGACACAAAACACUGGGCUCCAGGAAUGGCUUCCUUAAUGCAGUGGAGUUACAUAACAUAGUGUUAGAAACAGUAACUGCAGUGAGCACAGAAUUAACAUAUGUGAUAAGUAGGGAUUGCCAAGUUUUAAAGAACUCACAGAGAGCGCUGUCAAAUGCAACACUUCCUUCAGUCAGUGCGACUCAAAUCAACCAUUUUCUUUCUUUUUUUCCCCUCCGGUACUGUGGUCAGCAAUGUCUGUGGCUUCCUUUAAUCUCCCCAGCAGCUCUGCGCACUGUGUUUUAUUAUCAUCUUACUUAAGUCACAGACAAAUAGAACAGUCACGUAGGAAAUCAGUGAAAUUCAAGCCAUAAAUCUGAGUACUCUGAA
ensembl:lncRNA